rnacentral:lncRNA from 1 species
GGAAAAACAGAACAAUUUAUAAAUAUAGUCAUUCGUUCAACAUUUACACUGUGCCCAGUAGGUCCCAGUUAUUGAACUAGCAGUUCUAGAAAUAAAAAAUGAAAAAGAAAAUGUUUUUGUUCUGGAGCAGCUCACAUUGCAAUGAAUCAGACAAAUAUACAAAUCAGACAAAUGCACUGUACAGGGGCAGAGAGACAUGACCAGUUUCAUGGAGCAAGUAGAAGUAACCUUUAAAUGAUAUAAAAAGGAGUAAGAUACCGUGAAGAGAGGGAGAGAGGAACAGACCUUUCAAAAUAUAAGAAAAGGUCAGAAACAGCCAACAAAAGAGGUAAAACUGAUAAAGAGCUGUGAAAAGGAUCACUUAGGAGCAGGACACAGAGCCAUACCAGAGGCCAGAAAACCAAGAGUUGUUCAAUGAUCAGAGUGUGUCCUAUACAUGGGAAGUGGCACAGAAGGAGAGGGUCAGUGAAAUGCAGGGCUCUAUCACCCAACACCCAAUUGGAGAUAGGUAGCACCCUGCCCAUGGAGUACACUACAAGCUUAAAAUUCAAAAAGGAGGGCAGCUGAUGUAGCUCAGAUGCAGAGUGUUUGCCUGGCAUGCGUGAGGCUCUGGGUUUCAUUCCCAGUAUCACUAAAAAUAAGUAAAUUAAUAAAUAAAUAAAAAGUAUAUUUUCUUGAAGUUAGUUCUCAAAUAAACGUGCUUAGAAUGUUUUAUAAAAUAGGCAUCAUAAGAAGGAC